rnacentral:piRNA from 1 species
UCUGACGUUUGAAGCUUAGAUAGGAUGUUGU